rnacentral:rRNA from 1 species
UACGGGGGGAGCAAGCGUUGUUCGGAUUUACUGGGCGUAAAGGGCGCGUAGGCGGCCUCUGCAAGUCGACUGUGAAAUCUCCGGGCUUAACCCGGAAAGGUCAGCCGAUACUGCAGGGCUAGAGUGCAGAAGGGGCAACUGGAAUUCUCGGUGUAGCGGUGAAAUACGUAGAUAUCAGGAGGAACACCGGUGGCGAAGGCGGAUCUCUGGGCCUUACCUGACGCUCAGGCACGAAAGCGUGGGGGAGCAAACAGG